GUUUAUUUCCAGUGUAAAGGGAGCGGUGGGUCUAUGAAUUAUUGAGUAGCUACAAUGUGCUUGCCUGUGCUCAGUGCGAGAUUGUUUCUCUUCACUGCCAUCCUUGGAGCUAGACCUUGCCCCAGUCUGCACCUGUGGAAGGGAGCUUUGGCCCUCGGGGGCAGAGCUGGCGUUCCAGUUCCCCCAAGACAUGGGAGUCUCUUGAUGUUUGGAUCUUUUUGGAGAAAGAAAAUGCAAAGUGACAGGUUUCGAAUAGACAGAAACAACAGUAGAGUUGUUGCAUCAACAGCACGUCCAGCACAACCACAGUCCUUCUGGGAUGGCCCCGGGUGGGGCAACACCACUUCCUUUAAUUCCCCAUCCACAACAUUUCCAAAGACGCACGUUGAGCAAAUGAACGCAUGAACACAGGAGUGAAUUUCCAUCACUACCACUAAGAGGCGUACAGUUACUCAAAGGAGCUUUCUAAAUUCUUUGCUAAUAAUUCUCUUACCCUCUGUUCUCCAUUUUCUAUUUAUCUUCUACAUCAGUGCAGAGAUUAUACAUUAGUCUCUCUAUUAAAUUGUAAACUUAUCUUUUGUUAUUUUUUUAAUCACCAGGACUUACUACUUGCUCAAUAUCCAAUAAAUAAAUGAGUGAAUAAAAGACUAUCUGGACA
rnacentral:lncRNA from 1 species